UACGUAGGGUGCGAGCGUUAAUCGGAAUUACUGGGCGUAAAGCGUGCGUAGGCGGUUGGCAAAGUCAGCUGUGAAAGCCCCGGGCUUAACCUGGGAAUGGCGGUUGAAACUAGUCGACUUGAAUCUGGCAGAGGGGGGUGGAAUUCCGACGUGUAGCAGUGAAAUGCGUAGAGAUGUGGAGGAACACCGAUGGCGAAGGCAGCCCCCUGGGUCAAGAUUGACGCUCGAUGACACGAAAGCGUGGGGAGCAAAC
rnacentral:rRNA from 1 species